rnacentral:misc_RNA from 1 species
GAAAUGCGAUAAGUAAUGUGAAUUGCAGAAUUCCGUGAAUCAUCGAAUCUUUGAACGCAUAUUGCGCCCUCUGGUAUUCCAGAGGGCAUGCCUGUCCGAGCGUCAUUACUACCUUCAAGCACGGCUUGGUUGUUGAGCCAAUUGUCCUGUUGAUGGACAGGCUUAAAAUGUAGUGGCGAUGCUGAGUCCUGGUGCCUGAGCAUAUGGAGCCUGUCACAUGCUUUAGUGGCCCAGCCGGCAUUUUCGUCGAUUAAACCUUUUUUUUCAAAAAAGAUUUGACCUCGGAUCAGGUAAGGAUACCCGCUGAACUUAA